rnacentral:rRNA from 1 species
GGUUAAGCGACUAAGCGUACACGGUGGAUGCCCUGGCAGUCAGAGGCGAUGAAGGGCGUGCUAAUCUGCGAUAAGCGCCGGUAAGGUGAUAUGAACCGUUAUAACCGGCGAUACCCGAAUGGGGAAACCCAGUGUGAUUCGUCACACUAUCAUUAACUGAAUCCAUAGGUUAAUGAGGCGAACCGGGGGAACUGAAACAUCUAAGUACCCCGAGGAAAAGAAAUCAACCGAGAUUCCCCCAGUAGCGGCGAGCGAACGGGGAGGAGCCCAGAGCCUGAAUCAGCAUGUGUGUUAGUGGAAGCGUCUGGAAAGGCGCGCGAUACAGGGUGACAGCCCCGUACACAAAAGCGCAUGUGCUGUGAGCUCGAUGAGUAGGGCGGGACACGUGGUAUCCUGUCUGAAUAUGGGGGGACCAUCCUCCAAGGCUAAAUACUCCUGACUGACCGAUAGUGAACCAGUACCGUGAGGGAAAGGCGAAAAGAACCCCGGCGAGGGGAGUGAAAAAGAACCUGAAACCGUGUACGUACAAGCAGUGGGAGCCCCACCACUAAGCCAGUGGUGAACUCCACAUCCGCAUCCUUUGCUGAGGAUACGGUUAACGGAGCGAAAGCGACGUUCAACCGCAAAACAAGCAGAGGGGGCUUAGUGGUGGGGUGACUGCGUACCUUUUGUAUAAUGGGUCAGCGACUUAUAUUCUGUAGCAAGGUUAACCGUAUAGGGGAGCCGGAGGGAAACCGAGUCUUAAUUGGGCGUUAAGUUGCAGGGUAUAGACCCGAAACCCGGUGAUCUAGCCAUGGGCAGGUUGAAGGUUGGGUAACACUAACUGGAGGACCGAACCGACUAAUGUUGAAAAAUUAGCGGAUGACCUGUGGCUGGGGGUGAAAGGCCAAUCAAACCGGGAGAUAGCUGGUUCUCCCCGAAAGCUAUUUAGGUAGCGCCUCGUGAAUUCAUCUCCGGGGGUAGAGCACUGUUUCGGCUAGGGGGCCAUCCCGGCUUACCAACCCGAUGCAAACUGCGAAUACCGGAGAAUGUUAUCACGGGAGACACACGGCGGGUGCUAACGUCCGUCGUGAAGAGGGAAACAACCCAGACCGCCAGCUAAGGUCCCAAAGUCAUGGUUAAGUGGGAAACGAUGUGGGAAGGCCCAGACAGCCAGGAUGUUGGCUUAGAAGCAGCCAUCAUUUAAAGAAAGCGUAAUAGCUCACUGGUCGAGUCGGCCUGCGCGGAAGAUGUAACGGGGCUAAACCAUGCACCGAAGCUGCGGCAGCGAACGUAUCACCCAAGACAACUUUACGGAGUUGACGAUUGACGGAGCGAAGCGACGUCAAAGCGUUCAUUAAAGUCGAGUUGGCUUAGGGAUACGUUCGUUGGGUAGGGGAGCGUUCUGUAAGCCUGUGAAGGUGUGUCGUGAGGCAUGCUGGAGGUAUCAGAAGUGCGAAUGCUGACAUAAGUAACGAUAAAGCGGGUGAAAAGCCCGCUCGCCGGAAGACCAAGGGUUCCUGUCCAACGUUAAUCGGGGCAGGGUGAGUCGACCCCUAAGGCGAGGCCGAAAGGCGUAGUCGAUGGGAAACGGGUUAAUAUUCCCGUACUUGGUGUUACUGCGAAGGGGGGACGGAGAAGGCUAUGUUGGCCGGGCGACGGUUGUCCCGGUUUAAGCGUGUAGGUGUGUGUUCCAGGUAAAUCCGGUUCACUUUAACACUGAGGCGUGACGACGAGGCACUACGGUGCUGAAGCAACAAAUGCCCUGCUUCCAGGAAAAGCCUCUAAGCAUCAGGUAACAUCAAAUCGUACCCCAAACCGACACAGGUGGUCAGGUAGAGAAUACCAAGGCGCUUGAGAGAACUCGGGUGAAGGAACUAGGCAAAAUGGUGCCGUAACUUCGGGAGAAGGCACGCUGACACGUAGGUGAAGUGAUUUACUCAUGGAGCUGAAGUCAGUCGAAGAUACCAGCUGGCUGCAACUGUUUAUUAAAAACACAGCACUGUGCAAACACGAAAGUGGACGUAUACGGUGUGACGCCUGCCCGGUGCCGGAAGGUUAAUUGAUGGGGUCAGCGCAAGCGAAGCUCCUGAUCGAAGCCCCGGUAAACGGCGGCCGUAACUAUAACGGUCCUAAGGUAGCGAAAUUCCUUGUCGGGUAAGUUCCGACCUGCACGAAUGGCGUAAUGAUGGCCAGGCUGUCUCCACCCGAGACUCAGUGAAAUUGAACUCGCUGUGAAGAUGCAGUGUACCCGCGGCAAGACGGAAAGACCCCGUGAACCUUUACUAUAGCUUGACACUGAACAUUGAGCCUUGAUGUGUAGGAUAGGUGGGAGGCUUUGAAGUGUGGACGCCAGUCUGCAUGGAGCCGACCUUGAAAUACCACCCUUUAAUGUUUGAUGUUCUAACGUGGACCCGUUACCCGGGUUGCGGACAGUGUCUGGUGGGUAGUUUGACUGGGGCGGUCUCCUCCUAAAGAGUAACGGAGGAGCACGAAGGUUGGCUAAUCCUGGUCGGACAUCAGGAGGUUAGUGCAAUGGCAUAAGCCAGCUUGACUGCGAGCGUGACGGCGCGAGCAGGUGCGAAAGCAGGUCAUAGUGAUCCGGUGGUUCUGAAUGGAAGGGCCAUCGCUCAACGGAUAAAAGGUACUCCGGGGAUAACAGGCUGAUACCGCCCAAGAGUUCAUAUCGACGGCGGUGUUUGGCACCUCGAUGUCGGCUCAUCACAUCCUGGGGCUGAAGUAGGUCCCAAGGGUAUGGCUGUUCGCCAUUUAAAGUGGUACGCGAGCUGGGUUUAGAACGUCGUGAGACAGUUCGGUCCCUAUCUGCCGUGGGCGCUGGAGAACUGAGGGGGGCUGCUCCUAGUACGAGAGGACCGGAGUGGACGCAUCACUGGUGUUCGGGUUGUCAUGCCAAUGGCACUGCCCGGUAGCUAAAUGCGGAAGAGAUAAGUGCUGAAAGCAUCUAAGCACGAAACUUGCCCCGAGAUGAGUUCUCCCUGAGACUUAGAGUCUCCUGAAGGAACGUUGAAGACGACGACGUUGAUAGGCCGGGUGUGUAAGCGCAGCGAUGCGUUGAGCUAACCGGUACUAAUGAACCGUGAGGCUUAACCUU